AGAGUUUGAUCCUGGCUCAGGACGAACGCUGGCGGCGUGCCUAAUACAUGCAAGUCGAGCGAAUCAUUAGGAGCUUGCUCCUGAUGGUUAGCGGCGGACGGGUGAGUAACACGUGGGCAACCUGCCUGUAAGACUGGGAUAACUUCGGGAAACCGGAGCUAAUACCAGAUAAUCCUUUUCUUCACAUGAAGGAAAGCUGA
rnacentral:rRNA from 1 species